rnacentral:rRNA from 1 species
CCUACGGGAGGCUGCAGUGGGGAAUAUUGGGCAAUGGGCGCAAGCCUGACCCAGCAACGCCGCGUGAAGGAAGAAGGCUUUCGGGUUUUAAACUUCCUUUCUCAGAGACGCAGCAAUUAACGGUACCUGAGGAAUAAGCCACGGCUAACUACGUGCCAGCAGCCGCUGUAAUACGGAGGUCGCAAGCGUUAUUCGGAUUUAAUGGGUGUAAAGGGCGUGUAGGCGGGGACGCAAGUCAGAUGUGAAAACCACGGGCUCAACCUGUGGCCUGCAUUUGAGACUGUGGUUCUUGAGUGCUGGAGAGGCAGGCGGAAUUCAUGGUGUAGCGGUGAAAUGCGUAGAGAUUAGGCAGAACACCAGUGGCGAAGGCAGUCUGCUGGACAGCAACUGACGCUGAGGCGCGAAAGCGUGGGGAGCAAACAGGAUUAGAUACCCUAGUAGUC